rnacentral:rRNA from 1 species
CAGUCGCCACGGGAAUACGAAGGGGGCUAGCGUUGUUCGGGAUUACUGGGCGUAAAGCGCACGUAGGCGGAUAUUUAAGUCAGGGGUGAAAUCCCAGAGCUCAACUCUGGAACUGCCUUUGAUACUGGGUAUCUUGAGUAUGGAAGAGGUAAGUGGAAUUCCGAGUGUAGAGGUGAAAUUCGUAGAUAUUCGGAGGAACACCAGUGGCGAAGGCGGCUCACUGGUCCAUUACUGACGCUGAGGUGCGAAAGCGUGGGGAGCAAACAGGAUUAGAUACCCGGGUAGUCCCUGUCUCUUAUAC